rnacentral:rRNA from 1 species
CAGCAGCCACGGUAAUACGUAGGUGGCAAGCGUUGUCCGGAAUUAUUGGGCGUAAAAGGCUCGCAGGCGGUUUCUUAAGUCUGAUGUGAAAGCCCCCGGCUCAACCGGGGAGGGUCAUUGGAAACUGGGAAACUUGAGUGCAGAAGAGGAGAGUGGAAUUCCGCGUGUAGCGGUGAAAUGCGUAGAGAUGUGGAGGAACACCAGUGGCGAAGGCGACUCUCUGGUCUGUAACUGACGCUGAGGAGCGAAAGCGUGGGGAGCGAACAGGAUUAGAGACCCGCGUAGUCCCUGUCUCUUAUAA